rnacentral:sRNA from 1 species
AACAGAAGGCACCAAGGUUGAAAUCAGCUCAGGUUUCCUCGCCCACUCGCUUGUGGACAUGAACCAGGCUCCUCUUUGCACAGCUUAUGCAUGCCCUUGCAAAAGCCGCUGUCCGUCGUGCUGGAUAAACUAGAGGACCCUUUGUUGAGGACCCAUUUAACCCAAAUUCCCCUUUUUGGGCGCUAAAUCAAUAACAGCCUUACCGAGUUGAGUUGAAAAUGAUCAACUCAAAAGUGCUUGCCUGCCAGGAACGAAAUCCUCAAUGUGCAGUACAUGGGAUCGACAAUCCCGGAAUAAAUGUGAUAACACAA